GACGAACGCUGGCGGCGUGCUUAACACAUGCAAGUCGAACGAAGUGGCGAACGGGUGAGUAACGCGUAAUCAACCUGCCCUUCAGAGGGGGACAACAGAUGGAAACGACAGCUAAUACCGCAUACUGAAGGAGGGGAUUGCGUCUGAUUAGCCAGUUGGAGGGGUAACGGCCCACCAAGGCGAUGAUCAGUAGGCGGUCUGAGGGGAUGAACGGCCAAAAUGGGACUGGGACACGGCCCAGACUCCUACGGGAGGCAGCAGUUGGGAAUCGUCCGAAAUGGACGAAAGUCUGACGGAGCAACGCCGGGUUAGUGAUGACGGGCUUCGGGUUGUAAAGCUCUGUUAAUCGGGACGCGGUACCGGAAUAGAAAGCCACGGCUAACUACGUGCCAGCAGCCGCGGUAAUAC
rnacentral:rRNA from 1 species